rnacentral:lncRNA from 1 species
AAUUGCAAUGUGUGUGAGGAUCUAGUCCAUUCUUCUCUUUGUCGAAAAAGCCAGGAUCGUUGUAAAGAAGAUCCUAAUAUUAGAUAUUCCUGCAGAAAAACAUGUAAAAUCUGCAGUGAUGAUCAACUUUGUAAUGAUGCAAUGCCAGACGUU